GAUGAAUGAUCUAAGCCCCAGUAUGAUUCUCGGGCAAAAUGAUGUCUAGUGGCGGACAUUGAGAUUAUUUAUUUUAAGCAUAUAUAAGGGGGGUAUGAAUGGUGACAGCCUACCAGCCUCCCCCGGGUGUGUCGACAGAUGGCCACCCCAAGUGUGCUGCCUUGAGGGACAACCUCAAGGGCCUGCCUUGGCAUGUCAAAGGAAUGCGCAAGGUACUCAUAGGGCUCGGGAACCCUAUGGGCAACGCAAGGUCGGG
rnacentral:lncRNA from 1 species